GAACCAAACAGCUGCACAACUCUGCUGCCUCUCAGUGCAGUUUCUGUAACAGUAGCAGAAAUCUGGGAGCCAAAGUUUUGUUUGGCUUUGAAACAAGCAGAAAUAAACAGCGCACACCCACCCCAAAACUCUCCAUUGCUUUGGUGUAGCCAGUUAGGCUGGAAGGAGCCCAAGAAAACAGUCCACAUUUACAACAUCUGCAGCUUCAGUCUGCAACAGUGUACAGUAACAGAGUCAGUGACAGUGUGUGACAAUGACCUGUGGGACCAAGAAGUGAUUCCCCCAACCAACAGGGAAGAAACAGGCAAUAUGGAAGGAAGGACUGAGAGGAAAGAUGGUGUUUGGAUAAGGUUACCCGCAGCAACUGGAUAUUAG
rnacentral:lncRNA from 1 species